rnacentral:tRNA from 1 species
CAAGAGAUAGUUUAAAUAAAAUAUUAAUUUUGGAUAUUAAAGAAGUGUAUUUCUCUCUUGA